CUUAUCUAAAUCCAAAUUUUAAAUCUAAGGGAACUAGGGAAACAACUGUAAUGCCUUCUUAAACAGACCGAAAGUACUUAGAACCAACAAAUGUAUCUAGAAGAUACAAUAGCCUCAUAUCCGAACUGUGGAAGGGCAUUCCAUUGUUCUUUUUUUAAGACUGUCCCUAGGAUGCAGCCCAAAUAGCCCGAAAUCGGAAAGCCAGCAGCAGCCCUUGAAUAUCGGUACUCACUUAUCACAUCGUGUCCAUGGCAAUCCAAAUCCAGGUGAUGGUUCAUCACCAGCGAUGGCUGUAAUCCAGUUUGAUUGUGGUUGUGAUUGUGCAACGGUAGCUGGUGAGCCAAAUGGCCACCAAUCUCUGCCAUUACCAUAUAUUUGGCUGACAGGACACUCGGCGAAGCACACUCGAGAUAUUUGUGGGCUGGGAAUCUUGAGAGCGGGCGCCUUUUCGUUUUGGGCCGUACUCAAGAAGUUUCCGGCAUUGAGCAGGGAUAUUUGUGUAAGGCACUUGUAGGGUUACUUAUUCCGUGAAGUUUGCUUGAAUUACUCAAUAUGAGACCGGGACACAAAGCACUGGGUUUUCGGCGAAUUUAGCGGGAUUAUCGCGGCUGUGUGAUCCGUGUGCGCACACGCGUUUUCCUCGCAGGGAUUUGGAUCUGUGGUGAGGGAUUUAAGAGUCUCUCGCAUCCGAAAAGGCAAAUCCGACGGCUAUCGAGCUAAGACGGUCGAUGUUCGCGAUACGACGGCUAUAUAGUAGCGAUGACGACAACCGACCAACGACGAUGUCUGGCGCACAAACAUGCUCACUGCACGGAGACUGCUGAACGACUAAA